AUUGAACAACACACCACACACUGUAAAACAGUGCAAUUAAAAGGGGUGGGGGUCCAAAGGCACACAAGAGUAGAAUGUUGUAAUUAGAGUGCAUGUUUGCAUGAUGAUAACUUUACCCUAAAUAUUUGAAAAUAGCAGAUCUUUACCAUAUCACCUCCACUUAAUUAAUGAAUUAAAGAACUCAGACAGGCUUGUGCUUAAUUAAAUAAAUAUAUUUGACAUGGUAAAUAUUCAGUCUAAUUAAAUUAGAACUUUUGUCUGGCUCGUCGUUAUAUAUGAUUAUCGCCUGUGAAAGAGCAUUUAAAUCAGAGUGCAAGAUGAAAAGAACUUUAAGUUCAGAUUUUAGGUUAAUGUUCCCUGAUAUCUAUAAAACAUUCUUCUCAAGAUUUGAUUAUUUCACAGAACAUUGUAAAUUCUUUGAGAUUAGUUUAUCUUUUAUAUAUAUUGAAUUUUAUUGAUUCAUUUUAGGUAAACUUUACAUGCAGAACACAUCUACAUGGUAAACAGUUUUUACAGUAAGACAAAUCUAUUGGUGGCCACAUGGUUUUUACCUGUUGAUUCUUUUCAGCUCUUGAGGUUAACCUGUCAUCUCUACUCACAUGCAUAUUCCUUAAUGUGUUCUACAGACUAUUUACCAGUAAAAAUUAAAUCGGAUAAUUCAUGAACAGUUACUGUAAUGGAACUUUAAGAAAGCAUCAUGCCUUGUUGUGGUUUGUGUUUGAUAAGAAAUUAUAACAAACAAAAUUAUGGCUGUUUAAAGUAAUUUACAAUUGUUAGCUGUGAAAAUUUGUUUUUCAAUAAAAGUAUGCAAUUAU